UACGUAGGGAGCAAGCGUUGUCCGGAAUCAUUGGGCGUAAAGCGCGCGUAGGUGGCCUCAUAAGUCCGCUGUGAAAGUCAAAGGCUCAACCUUUGAAAGCCGGUGGAUACUGUGGGGCUAGAGUACGGAAGAGGCGAGUGGAAUUCCUGGUGUAGUGGUGGAAUGCGUAGAGAUCAGGAGGAACACCCGUGGCGAAAGCGGCAUCCUGGCCCUGACCUGACACUGAGGUGCGAAAGCGUGGGGAGCAAACAGG
rnacentral:rRNA from 1 species